rnacentral:lncRNA from 1 species
UUAUCGGUCGUCCCACUGUCUAUAUCAAUUUGUUCAGCUCUUAAUAUUAUUCCGUAUCAUGUCUUUGUGACGUCAAAUACGUUGACCCGGCCUUAAUAACUUUGACCCGGACAUAUCAGCGACGUCAUAAUGUUUGACCCGACGUUAAUAACUUUGACCCGAACUUAUCAAGUCAUCUUUUGUGUCCUUGUGAAACAAAGAAAACACUUCUGAAACACGCAAAUAUAGCCCGAUAAAUCGAUUAUCAGAUUAUCUGCAUAUUGAUAUUGUAAAAUAUCAGCUGCUUGACAUUAUAUGAAGGCUUUUUGAUCUCGUUCGCUACGCUCACUCGACAAAAAGCUUCAUAUUAUGUCUCGCAGCUGAUAUUUUACGAUAUCAACAUGCAGAUAACCUGAUAAUCGGUACGUCU